rnacentral:rRNA from 1 species
CCUACGGGAGGCAGCAGUGGGGAAUAUUGCGCAAUGGGCGAAAGCCUGACGCAGCGACGCCGCGUGAGGGAUGAAGGUCUUCGGAUCGUAAACCUCUGUCAGCAGGGAAGAACGGUCACUGUGCUAAUCAGCAGUGAAUUGACGGUACCUGCAAAGGAAGCACCGGCUAACUCCGUGCCAGCAGCCGCGGUAAUACGGAGGGUGCGAGCGUUAAUCGGAAUUACUGGGCGUAAAGCGCUCGUAGGCGGUAUGUCAAGUCAAGGGUGAAAUCCCCGCGCUCAACGUGGGAACUGCCUUUGAUACUGGCAGACUGGAGUGUGUGAGAGGAUAGUGGAAUUCAAGGUGUAGGAGUGAAAUCCGUAGAUAUCUGGAGGAACAUCAGUGGCGAAGGCGACUAUCUGGCACAUUACUGACGCUGAGGAGCGAAAGCGUGGGUAGCAAACAGGAUUAGAUACCCGUGUAGUC